rnacentral:tRNA from 1 species
GCCUUCGGGGUAUAGUGGUCAACACGCUCGACACGUAACCGAGAGAUCCGUGGUUCGAUUCCUAGCGAAAGCU